CCUACGGGGGGCAGCAGUGGGGAAUAUUGGACAAUGGGGGCAACCCUGAUCCAGCCAUGCCGCGUGUGUGAAGAAGGCCCUCGGGUUGUAAAGCACUUCCAGUGAGGAAGAACGCCUGGUGGUUAAUACCCAUCAGGAAAGACAUCACUCACAGAAGAAGCACCGGCUAACUCCGUGCCAGCAGCCGCGGUAAUACGGAGGGUGCGAGCGUUAAUCGGAAUUACUGGGCGUAAAGCGCGCGUAGGUGGCUUGAUAAGCCGGUUGUGAAAGCCCCGGGCUCAACCUGGGAACGGCAUCCGGAACUGUCAAGCUAGAGUGCAGGAGAGGAAGGUAGAAUUCCCGGUGUAGCGGUGAAAUGCGUAGAGAUCGGGAGGAAUACCAGUGGCGAAGGCGGCCUUCUGGACUGACACUGACACUGAGGUGCGAAAGCGUGGGUAGCAAACAGGAUUAGAUACCCCGGUAGUC
rnacentral:rRNA from 1 species